rnacentral:rRNA from 1 species
UACGUAGGGGGCUAGCGUUGUCCGGAAUCAUUGGGCGUAAAGAGCGUGUAGGCGGCCCGGUAAGUCCGAUGUAGAAGUCAAAGGCUCAACCUUUGAAUGUCAGUGGAUACUGCCGGGCUAGAGUCCGGAAGAGGCGAGUGGAACUCCUGGUGUAGCGGUGGAAUGCGCAGAUAUCAGGAAGAACACCCGUGGCGAAGGCGGCUCUCUGGGACGGUACUGACGCUGAGACGCGAAAGCGUGGGGAGCGAACAGG